rnacentral:rRNA from 1 species
UCGAGAAUCUUCGGCAAUGGGGGAAACCCUGACCGAGCGACGCCGCGUGUGGGAUGAAGGCCCUUGGGUUGUAAACCACUGUCAGAGGGGAUGAAGUGCACGUGAGCAAUCUCAUGUGUUUGACAUAGCCUCAGAGGAAGCACGGGCUAAGUUCGUGCCAGCAGCCGCGGUAAUACGAACUGUGCAAACGUUAUUCGGAAUCACUGGGCUUACAGGGUGCGUAGGCGGCUUGUUAAGCAGGGUGUGAAAGCCCUCGGCUCAACCGAGGAAUUGCGCCUUGAACUGGCGAGCUGGAGUGGGACAGAGGUGCGCGGAACUUCCAGUGGAGCGGUGAAAUGUGUUGAUAUUGGAAGGAACGCCGGAGGCGAAAGCGGCGCACUGGGUCUCAACUGACGCUGAG